rnacentral:rRNA from 1 species
UACGUAGGGUGCGAGCGUUAAUCGGAAUUACUGGGCGUAAAGCGUGCGUAGGUGGUUCGUUAAGUCUGUCGUGAAAGCCCCGGGCUCAACCUGGGAAUGGCGAUGGAUACUGGCGGGCUAGAGUGCGGUAGAGGAGAGUGGAAUUCCCGGUGUAGCAGUGAAAUGCGUAGAGAUCGGGAGGAACAUCAGUUGCGAAGGCGGCUCUCUGGACCAGCACUGACACUGAGGCACGAAAGCGUGGGGGAGCAGAACGA